CCUGUUUUAAUUUGAAAGAAUGACUCUCCUCUCAUUUCAGGUCACUUCCCCUUCCUCCUGUGUCAGUCUGAUUGUCAGCCCUGAUUGUUUCCACCUGUUGCCCCUUACCUUGUGUUUAAAUGGUCCUUGACUCCCUUUGUCCUGGGCCAGUGUGUACUGUCAGAACCAGGCUUGGACACAGGACACAGGACACAGGACACAGGACACAGGACAAAGUUGCAGGGUACAAAGUGAAGAUAUAUUUAUUUGAGGAUCAGGAACUGACUAUUUAAAAUGGCAAGGCUGUGGAAACAAGGCAAGAACUGCUCAGCUCUGUGGCGAGAGGCUGGAGUCCACACACAAGGACGAAACACACUGGCACAGGACAAAGGGAGACAAGGACCAUUCAAACACAAGAUUUAACGCCCCCCACCCCCUUCCGGUGGAAGACAUUGUACAAGCCACCUUAUAAAAGAAAUGGACAGCAUUCACAUGCAAUCUCUGCAGAAAUGAAUCAUGGAAGGAUUGCAGGAUAAAUGUGGAUACUGUGAUCACGAGUGUGUAAAAAUUGGCCAAAAUGGAAGAAAAUGAAGCACGAAAAUACAUCAUAGUAAUAUGUUGUGUCUCUGUUUAAUUGCUUAUUAUAUGUCAUGGACAACGUAUAUGACAAGACAGUCAUUGCGUAAGUUUGCUUCGAGCGUGUUUUGCAUUUUAACUGUCUUUUUCCAUCAUUAAUCUCCAC